AGACAACAACCGAGACAACAACCGAGAUAGCAACCGACAUAGCAACCGACAUAGUAACCGAGAUAGUAACCGAAACAGCCGAAACAGCCGAAACAGCCGAAAUGAUAAAAAAAAACGACUCACUGAUUAACAAUUUAACAGAAAAACUAAAAACUGAGUUUGAUAAAAAUACAAAAGUGUUUGAUAAUACAAUAAAAAAAUUAAACGAAUUAUUGGAUGAAUAUAAACCUAUGAUAGAGGAUAAUAAUAAUAAAAUAGAUAAGGAUAUUAUUAAUUAUGGUAACAAAAUAGAAGAAUUAUUUUUAUCAGAUAAAAAACAGUUAAAAUCUGAACAAUAUACUGAACAGAUACAAAAAAAAUAUAUUAACUUGUUGGAUAAACUGAAACAAAACUACAAAGAAGUUAAUAAUAUAUUAAACAAUAUGAUUAAUAACUUAAACAAAGAAAUUAAAAAAACACAACAAUAUAUUAAAAUGGUAAUAGAAAUUAAAAAAAAAAAUGUUAAUAUAGAAAACAUGGAAGAAUGUAUAAAAAAAGCAACUGAUUUUCAAGAUAAUGUAUUAUUAAAAAAAAAAACAGAUAUAGAAGAAUUUUACAAUAAAAACAUUAAAAUUUGGAAUAGUAAAAUUAAUUCGAUAAUGACACAAAAAGAUGAAAAUAGUAGCGACGAUAAUGAUACUUGUCUAAAUAAUUAUGAUGGGAAUAAUGUUACUUAUGUUGAUAAAAAUGGAAAGAACAGUAAAAUGAAUAAUAAACAAAUGAUAACCUACUUAUCUAUUAAACAAGAAAUAAAAAAUAGUCUAACCAUCUUUUAUAUAUUAAUAUAUUAUAUUCAAAAAAUUUCUGGUUUUUAUGACAACAAUGAAAAAGGAAAUAAACAAAAUGUAACAAAUGGAACGAAUCGUACAAACCGUAAAAAUGGAACAAACCGUACGAAAGACAACUCCCCUUUAAAGGAUAAAUAUAAAAAACAGAUCCUCAAAAAAAAACAAUCUGAUAAUUUUACCAUAAAUAAUGACAGCAGUGACAAUAAUGACGAGUUAAACGAAGAAAACAAAUUUUUGGAAAUACAAAAAAAUAUAUACAAAAUAAAUACAUAUAAAAAAAUACAAAAUAUAUAUCAACUACAUAUAAAUGAACAAAACAAAAAUGAACCAAAUACAAAUGGACAAAAAUCACUUUUAAAAGAUUUUUCCCUAACUAAUAAACUAUCAGAAAAUAUAAAUGAACUUAUAUUUUGUUUAAAUACAGAGUCGAUACAAAAGAAUAAAUCGCAUAUUACAGGAGGUACACUAUACAUAGUGCAUGAUAAGCUAAUUUCACUUGAUAUAUACAAAAGUGGCUGUUUUCCACAUAAGGAUCAUGGUAACUCAAUAGAUAACUCUAACACUAUCACUAACUAUGACAAAAAUAAUGAAAAAAUUGAAAAAAUUGAAAAAAAUGAAAAAAAUGAAAAAAA
ensembl:lncRNA